rnacentral:pre_miRNA from 15 species
AAAGCCAUCAAAGCGGUGGUUGAUGUGUUGCAAAUUAUGACUUUCAUAUCACAGCCAGCUUUGAUGUGCUGCC